UUUGCCAUUUACACCUGUUUUCUGGUGAGGAACUUCUCCCAGUGCAUGUCUGGUGACUCUGUGGAGACUGGAGUGCCCUGAUCACCAGAAUUUUUGUUUUAUACAAAUGUCCUGGUCGUCACUGCAGGUGCUGUGCAGAUGGAGACUACUGGACAUCCUUUGUACCUUACAGUUUGUAUUCAACAGCAACAGGACAGAAGAAGGACAGGAAAUCAGGAGAGGAGCUACCAUUGCAGUGGUCCCCAGCAGAUGGGUCCUCACAUGGAGAACCUCAUGGAGAAGCAGCACUGUGGGUUGCAAACCUCUCCCAAGUUACGGUCUUCUCUUAUAUGAACUGAGGGAAAGACAAAAGUGAAGUCUGUGACUUGACAGCAAAACAGAAUGGUGCUUUACACCUCUUGAAAGAAGGGAGAUCACUGCUUGGCCUCAAUUACAGAUGGCUUAUGUAUGUUGAUCCUGGACCACAGGAGAGAGAAAAGCCACAAGGUUUGGCCUUUCCAUUUUUAUGACCAAUUUCAAUAUGCUCAGUGUUAAUCAGAUAAAACAAAUUAGUUACAUCGGGUUUCAUGCUGUUUUCUGGAGAAAUAGCAUUUAUCAGGUCAACAAACAAGACACUGAAUGCUCCUAUCAUAGUAGAGAAAGUUCUGCUUAGUAUCACACUUCAGUUUUGGAGCUGAAACAAAACCAAACAAAAUCUCCAAAUGUUGUGAUGGGUUAAGAUGAAAUGCUAACAUACUACUGGUAUCUCAGAAAAACUAAUAAGGCAAAGCCUGUGUCCUUUGCUGAAGGUACAGGCUCUAACCCCAUCAUUCGGUAGCUGGGAGCAUUUAUAGAUAACAAUGGGAUCUAAAAACUCAUGUAAGACUUGCUGAUGUAGUGAUGAAGAGGACUGGUUCUAGUGUUCUUCAAGGCAAGGAGGGAAGCAGAAAAUGGGAGUAACAGGUUGGUCAAGUAGUUCUCCUUUUAAUGAGUCAUUCUGCAAAGUGUUAACCAAGGAACCCUUCUUACAUCUGGUGCAAUGAAGUAUGUCUUGAGUGGUUAGACAAGCAGAAACUUGUCUAGGCACGAUGUGUGUCCUUCCUUCUUCUCUGAGGGCAAUGUGGUGUUGCAAUAGGUCAUCCUAGUUUUCCUCCCUGCCCUCGUGGCUGAAGACCAAUUGUUGGGCUAAUUCCCUCUGGAAGCAGCGAUAUGACAUGGAACAGCAGCAUACACCUCCUAGCACCACGUUUUGUCUCUUCCAGGAUGCAAUGUUCUCACCCUUUGAGAGAGAGAACAUCACAGUCCUCAUUGAUUCUGUACAUGGGGGAGAGGUGUUGGUUUCUUACUGCAGUCACAGGAGUAACACCAGACCCGUGGCAUGGAAGCUCUCCAUCUGGAGAGAAAGGCCGGGUGUAGCCUCACUUGCCCCUGCCUGGUGGGGCAGAGGGCAUUGGAGGUCCAAACCAGAGCUGCAACUCCAACAUCAGGGCAGGCUGCAUCUGCACACCCACUGCAUACCCACUGCCAGUUGUGGGAUCGUCCAGGGACAGGUUUUGUUGGAGAGCACAUCUCCAUCUGACAUCAGUGGGGUCUCUCUCUCAAAGCGAACAUUAGGCUGCUAUCAAAGUGCCGUUUGUGAGCAAGAUUCAUGAACUAAUUAGUCACUAUGCCCAUUAAUCAGAAAGACUAGAAAUAAUUCAGCAGAAUUCAUGCUGUCAGCAAGGAUGAGAAGAGCCCUCUCUAUGACAGCUUACCUUGCAUUUUGAUCAUUAGGCGAUUCGGAGUUUAGCCCAUCCGUCUUGUUUAUCUGCCCUCAGGGGAAAAUAAUCCCUGCAUCCUAGCCAUCUCGACAAG